rnacentral:rRNA from 1 species
UACAGAGGGGGCAAGCGUUGUUCGGAAUUACUGGGCGUAAAGGGCGCGUAGGCGGCCGACUAAGUCAGACGUGAAAUCCCCAGGCUCAACCUGGGAACUGCGUCUGAUACUGGACGGCUCGAGUUCGGGAGAGGGAAGUGGAAUUCCAGGUGUAGCGGUGAAAUGCGUAGAUAUGCGGAGGAACACCGAUGGCGAAGGCAAUCCCCUGGACCUGUACUGACGCUCAUGCACGAAAGCGUGGGGAGCAAACAGG